rnacentral:misc_RNA from 1 species
GAUGAAGAACGUAGCGAAAUGCGAUAGGUAAUGUGAAUUGCAGAAUUCAGUGAAUCAUCGAAUCUUUGAACGCACAUUGCGCCCUUUGGUAUUCCGGGGGGCAUGCCUGUCCGAGCGUCAUUGCUGCCCUCAAGCACGGCUUGUGUGUUGGGCCUCCGUCCUCCUCCCGGGGGACGGGCCCGAAAGGCAGCGGCGGCACCGCGUCCGGUCCUCGAGCGUAUGGGGCUUCGUCACCCGCUCUUGUAGGCCCGGCCGGCGCUUGCCGACACAUCAAUCUUUUUUCCAGGUUGACCUCGGAUCAGGUAGGGAUACCCGCUGAACUUAAGCAUAUCAAUAAGCGGAGGA